AUUGAACGCUGGCGGCAGGCCUAACACAUGCAAGUCGAACGAGUGGCGGACGGGUGAGUAAUGUCUGGGAAACUGCCUGAUGGAGGGGGAUCACUACUGGAAACGGUAGCUAAUCCCGCAUACCAUCAGAUGUUCCCAGAUGGGAUUAGCUAGUAGGUGGGGUAACUGCUCACCUCGUCGACGAUCCCUAGCUGGUCUGAGAGGAUGACCAGCCACACUGGAACUGAGACACGGUCCAGACUACUACGGGAGGCAGCAGUGGGGAAUAUGGCACAAUGGGCGCAAGCCGGAUGCAGCCAGGCCGCGUGUAUGAAGAAGGCCUGCGGGUUGUAAAGUACUUUCAGCGGGGAGGCGUUACCCGCAGAAGAAGCACCGGCUAACUCCGUGCCAGCAGCCGCGGUAAUUC
rnacentral:rRNA from 1 species